UUUCUCUGUUCUUUUUUGUACAUUUACUCAGAUUAUAAUUGAUAGACUGUGAUGUAUGCCUCUCUUUUGCUUCUUUGCAGAAUUGAUUUUAAGAUAAGAACUAUAUUUUGAGCUUAAUGGCAAAAGCGGCAUGCUCCAGAUUUGGGAUACGGCUGGUCAAGAACGUUGCUGAAUCAUCACCACUGGUGAGUGGGACCUUUUCAUAUGAGAGAGUUGCUCUCAUCGCCUACUCAACAUACUAUAUUAGAGAGCUUAUUACGGAGGGGCAAUGGGAAUUUUUGCAGCUGGAUGAUGUCACAGACGAACCAUCCGUCAACAGUAGUUUUGCUGCUGUCUAAACAUGACAUCUUUUUUCUUACAUUUUUGCUUUGUUUUUGAACCUGUUUUCUUGAUCUUAUUGCAAAGCUUAAGAACUGGAUUCGUAAUAUCAAACAGCCUGCUUCAGAUGAUGUUGAGAAGAUAUUGUUAGGGAACAAACCCCGCAGUAACGCAAGUGCAUUCAUACUGAUUUACAACUUCAUGAUUCACGACUAAUCAAAUUAAUAGCGUUUUUGACAACUUUUUUUGGCAGACUGCCAAAAUCAAUAGGUCAAGCACUUGCUGAUAAAAAAGGAAGCCAAGCAUUGUCUCUUCAGAUCAACUUAGACUACUACAUUGUUCGUAUUCGUUUUGCAAGUUUCAGAACUUGCUACUUUUAUGGUUAAAACAGAUAAGGGCCAGAAUCUCUGGUCUUGAGCUUUGGGUGCACUGAGAAAUAUGUGACACAAGAGAAUGUGAUGGAGUUUCUUCUGUCUAGGUCAGAGGAAUUGAAACAAAGAGGAAUGAAUAUGUCAAUGCUAUCUGAAUUGAUAAAUGAAAUCUUAAAAAAUAAUAAGUAUCUGUUAUGACACAUUAUAAAUGAGAAAAUUUCAAAAAAUAUGACAACAUUGUUUUAGUGCAUAGUUGCAUCCAGCACUAACAUAUGAUGAUGUUCAAAGAGGUUAGGAGCCUUUGUUGUCUCUGUUUUUCAAAAAAAUAGUGAUUUUAUAGUGGUUAUUC